rnacentral:rRNA from 1 species
GACGAACGCUGGCGGCGUGCCUAAUACAUGCAAGUAGGACGCAGUUGCGAACGGGUGAGUAACGCGUAGGUAACUACCUAUUAGAGGGGGAUAACUAUUGGACACGAUAGCUAAUACCGCAUACUAGUAGAUGGACCUGCGUUGUAUUAGCUAGUAGGUAGGGUAAAGGCCUACCUAGGCAACGAUACAUAGUCGAACUGAGAGGGUGAUCGGCAACACUGGGAAUGAGACACGGCCCAGACUCCGAAGGGAGGCAGUAGGAGGGAAUCUUCGGCAAUGGGGGGAACGCUGACCGAGCAAAGCCGCGUGAGUGAAGAAGGGUUUCGGAUCGGAAAGCUCUGUUGUUAAGGAAGCGGUACUUAACCAGAAAGGGACGGCUAACUACGUGCCAGCAGCCGCGGUAAUUC